UACAGAGGGUGCGAACGUUGUUCGGAAUUACUGGGCAUAAAGAGCACGUAGGCGGCACCGCAAGUGUGGGGUGAAAUCCCACGGCUUACCCGUGGAACUGCCUGGCAGACUGCGGUGCUAGAGGUUGGUAGGGGAGAGCGGAACUCUUGGUGGAGCGGUGAAAUGCGCAGAUAUCAGGAGGAACACCGGUGGCGAAGGCGGGUCUCUGGGCCGUAACUGACGCUGAGGAGCGAAAGCGUGGGGAGCGAACAGG
rnacentral:rRNA from 1 species